rnacentral:rRNA from 1 species
CCUACGGGAGACAGCAGUGAGGAAUAUUGGUCAAUGGGCGGAAGCCUGAACCAGCCAAGUAGCGUGCAGGAUGACGGCCCUAUGGGUUGUAAACUGCUUUUAUACGGGAAUAACGCGCCUUACGUGUAGGGCUUUGCAUGUACCGUAUGAAUAAGGACCGGCUAAUUCCGUGCCAGCAGCCGCGGUAAUACGGAAGGUCCGGGCGUUAUCCGGAUUUAUUGGGUUUAAAGGGAGCGUAGGCCGCAUGUCAAGCGUGCUGUGAAAUGCCCGGGCUCAACCCGGGCCUUGCGGCGCGAACUGGCGUGCUUGAGUGCGCGGAAAGCAGGCGGAAUUCGUGGUGUAGCGGUGAAAUGCUUAGAUAUGACGAAGAACCCCGAUUGCGAAGGCAGCAUGCUGCAGCGGAACUGACGCUGAUGCUCGAAAGCGCGGGUAUCGAACAGGAUUAGAUACCCGGGUAGUC